GAUGAACGCUGGCGGCGUGCCUAAUACAUGCAAGUCGAGCGAAUGGAUUAAGAGCUUGCUCUUAUGAAGUUAGCGGCGGACGGGUGAGUAACACGUGGGUAACCUGCCCAUAAGACUGGGAUAACUCCGGGAAACCGGGGCUAAUACCGGAUAACAUUUUGAACCGCAUGGUUCGAAAUUGAAAGGUGGCUCCGGCUGUCACUUAUGGAUGGACCCGCGUCGCAUUAGCAAGUUGGUGAGGUAAGGGCUCACCAAGGCAACGAUGCGGAGCCGACCUGAGAGGGUGAUCGGCCACACGGGGACUGAGACACGGCCCAGACUCCUACGGGAGGCAGCAGUAGGGAAUCUUCCGCAAUGGACGAAAGUCUGACGGGGCAACGCCGCGUGAGUGAUGAAGGCUUUCGGGUCGUAAAACUCUGUUGUUAGGGAAGAACAAGUGCUAGUUGAUUAAGCUGGCACCUUGACGGUACCUAACCAGAAAGCCACGGCUAACUACGUGCCAGCCGCCGCAGUAA
rnacentral:rRNA from 1 species